UACGGAGGGUGCAAGCGUUACUCGGAAUCACUGGGCGUAAAGCGCUCGUAGGUAGUGUGACAAGUCAAGGGUGAAAUCCCCGUGCUCAACAUGGGAACUGCCUUUGAAACUGUUAUACUUGAGUGUGUGAGAGGAUAGUGGAAUUCCAGGUGUAGGAGUGAAAUCCGUAGAUAUCUGGAGGAACAUCAGUGGCGAAGGCGACUAUCUGGCACAUAACUGACGCUGAGGUGCGAAAGCGUGGGGAGCAAACAGG
rnacentral:rRNA from 1 species